AUUUGUAGUUCAUCAUGCAUUACAGUAGGGCAUUCCUCUCUUUUGACUUUGCCCUUUUUUUUAGCUUGUUCAUCUGAUUUGCACAGAAGGGGGAAGAAGGCUUUAUGGAAAAGAUAAACUACAGACUCAACUCUGUGUGGGAAAGUCAGACACAAGUAGAAGAACCUAAGGAUGGAAUUCAGCAAGGAUUGGCAGAUACAUUCAUCCAAAGGGUAGCUGCAAGACAUAAACCGAUCUCAGAUCUCUGCUUGGAGAUACCUAAGUAACUGGCAGGUUGCUGUGCAGUUGUCAUCCCCCACCAGACUCCUGGUUUGCUCUUGAAAUGCCAUAGAGUUCAUGUUGUGCUCACCCUCGCUGUACCUCCAUAGAGCAAAGGAACAGAUUCUUCUCUCACAUCCACUAUUAAUAUGUCUUAACGGCAUACAGUGGCAGUAUUUCAGAGUUACGCCAUGGUAAGUGGGAACAGAAUAAGAAUUAGCGUUUUCCUAACUUCUCUCUGAACGUAUUUCUAAAAAUUAUGGGGGACUGCAGAAGCAGUACAAAACAGGCCUCCAAAUGGCUUCCUAACUUUAUUCUUAAAAUAUCACACACAGUAAAACAAAAAAGCAAACAUAAAAUAACUUAUUUUUACCUGCACACAGGUAAAAUUUAAGAACAGAAGAGAAAUCUUAUAUAAGCAAGUGACUAUACAUCAGUCUGUAGUUAGUCUUAGCACUGAUUAUGAGUGUUUAAAAAAAACCAUCCAUCUUCCUUUCAUCAAGAGUCACAGUUUUCCAUUUGCAUAUCUAGUAAUUUAUGGCAUGUCCUGACCUCAAGCAGUAAUUGAACCAAUAGAUCUUCAGACUAGAUUUACUCCAGUCUGGCUGCCACAGUAAUGCAACUCUGCAGGAGUUUGGAUUAUUCCAAAUGCUAUCUCCUCUUCCGAGAGUUUGACAGUCACCAGCAAAAUUUAACCUCCCAAAUGUCAAGGCAAAAACUCCGUUGUCUAAUUUAAACUAUCUAGUUCUCCUAUUGAAAUACCUUAAAUAAAACAGGAGGCACCGUGAUCACUCCUAAAAUUACCUCUGGAAGGUUGAUUUUAAUAUAGGACACUUUAAUGAUAAAUGAAUUCUCCUAAGAGUUUCAAAUCAGAGAAGAGCCUAAUCACAGGAUUGAAAGGGGGAAAUUCAGAUACCAAGGCUCAUAACUAGUAAUGUUAAAAAAAAAAAAAAAAAGAAAAAAAAGGAGAGAAGGAAAGAAAGAGAGAAAAAAGCUGUCAUAUUAGAGAGGAAUCUGGUGAUCAGAGAGAGGCUGAUGAGAAUCCAGCAGAGAGAGGAGAUGUGGAAAGGGGAGAUGGUUCACUCUGACUGGAGCACACCAUGGCAGAGCACAAAAACACUCAGCCAAGUGUCUGCACUUCUUUUCUCAAAAUGUGGUUUAGAAGCCAAUUUCAAGGCAGCAUUAUAUGCUUCAGUAAAGAGUUCUCAAAAGCUUUGAACAAGAAAAAUACCAGCAAACACACAGCUCUGCACUGUUGCAGUCUCUUUGCUGAAUACUAACUAUAGAGAAAAUACACUAAUAGAAAUUGUGGGUUUACAGCAGGUAUUACUUGGGAAAACUCUCUCUCUGUUAUUCAGCCACUUCUGACUGCAGAUGAAGUAGCCAGUGCACAGGAUGGUCACACUGCUCCUGCCUCCGAAUCAAAUUCCAGAUAUUAUGAAAAAGCGCUGGCUCUGAAGUUUUAUAACAAGUCUCAUCAGUUGACUAUUUUGCUUUCCUGGAAAGGAGCUCGAUUGAAUAAGCUCUGGCAGACACACAGAGCUGUGCUGUUGUCACUGACACAAGUCCCAAAACAACAUGUACAGUCUGUGAGAAACUGUUACUGUCACACAACUGUGAAGAAAAAAAGAGCAGCAAAGGUACAAAUAAGGAAAAUCUGACCCAAUCCCCAGUUAGCAUAGGUGAUAUUUAUCUAUAAAUGAUUACAUGCUGCUGCUGUUCCUUGGUAGUUAAAUUCAGUGAUGAUAGACAUCUUGGAAAAUAGAUAUAUAGAUAGAAAGAUAGAUAUCUUCAGCUACUUCAGCCGUCUAUGAUAUCCCAUGUGCUGCCAUCAGUGCUUUAGCCUGACCAAUUGCCUAAGUAACGCGUUCCAUCUUGUCCAGUCCGUAGCAGCACUUCAGUAACUCUGCAAAGUUGCAGCUAUCUGCCAGCACAGGAAGAACCUCAUCUUGCCCCAUUGUACUGAAGGACAGUCAUAUUGAAGAAGAAACGCCAUUAACUAUUUAAAUACUUUCAUUGAAUUGAUGUCAUUGACUUGUUUUUGGCUUUAAUGCCUUUUUUGUUCCCCUGUUAUGCAAACACCUUCUAGCAAAAAACAAACCUGGAAGUCUCAGAGCAUGGGUGGGUACAGAAGAGGUUGACCCAAAAGCUGGGUUGUGUCCAGCCUUCUGUCCAAGCAAUUACUGUCUGCCUCCCUGUUUAUAAAAUGGGGUUAGCAGUAUCAUUAAAUCACUGGUUGUGAGACUAAGGAUACUCCUAUCUCAUUAGCAGACCUAUACAAAAGAGGCAGAAUUGCUGCUGUUUGCUCCUGUGAGUGGCGGAGUAGUGAUUCUGUUUGGAACUGACUGAGGUUCCUCCAACCAUGCUUCUUUUCCAGACUGGAGACAAAAGAGGGAGCAUGCUGUGGAAUUUGCACCUCAACUCAGCUUGUUUUCAUGGUGAGGACAGCAGUGCACAACGUAUGAGGCUACUGCAAGAGGUUAAAGUCACUAAAUGAAAACCAGGUGUAUUCAGGAGGCAGUUUUUCUCAGAGGUGCACUGACGGAGGAACCCAUUUAUGAAAAAGGAAAUAAUAGAAGUACAUCACAGUGACAGCAGCAGAAACCAAUUCACUGGAGAUGGCAAAUGAAGGGAAUCACUGAUGGUUACAGUUAAUGUUUGGUCAGUCUGGAAAAUAACUGUCCAAAUGCGGGGAGGAGCUGCAGAAUACCCAUGAGUGCUCUCGUGUGCUGUAGUUAGCUCAACAGAGGCCUCUGCUGAGCAAAUAGUAACAGCCUGAAACAAGCUCAGAAACGGGCCAAGUAUCUCACCUUUAUAUGCCCUUGUAAGGAUCGUGUAGUACUCUUCUUACAGGCAAUGUUGCAAGGAAAGAAAAUUCCAAAGGGACAGAUAAGUAUGAAUAGAUCUGUCUUAUUUCUGAGGAAAAAAAAAAACAAAAAAAAAAAAAAACAAGAAAUGUCUCUUAUAAAAUAAGAAUGAUCACACAUGGUUUGCAGUUAGAGAACAUUUUAAUUUUUUUGCCAUAAUUUUGUGUAUUAAAGUUUUGAAAGUUAUUUGAGCAAUCACACCAGACAGAUUGCGAUUUGCCAUAGGAUUUAGGGUAUCCCUUUGGAUCAUUUCAAACUGUUUUCUGUCUUCAUUUAAUUGAAUUUGCCACACUGAAACCGAAUCAAACCUUUGAUUUAUCAGAAGUGCUUUAUUCUUCACUCUAGAUAUGUGUAGAUCUAAGCUAUAAACAGGAAAGCAGUAAAAAGUUGCACUGGUAAAUCUUUUAGAGAACACUGCCGUUCUGUGAAGCUUUAUGCUGUCUUUUCUGGUGCUAUGGAGCGCUUUUGUAGGAGCUCAUUUGGGAAAUGUAUUCUUUGAUUUUGAUAAUCAAUUGAUCAACAUUUGAAGCUUUGCUCAGACACACAAUUAUUGUGAACAGCAGUAUUUUCAAAUAUCUGUUUGAUUGUGUUUGUGAUGCUCACUUUGUUCAACUCUGCUCCAAGCAAAUUAAAAUGUACUGUUAUAAUAA